CAGCGGGACAUCCAGCCGGCUCAGGGUCCACGCCAGCCCGACCAGCCGGUCAAAGGACACCACUUGGCGGGGAGCGAUUACGUCCCAGUCCAGAUAUAUCGAUGGUCCAGACAAGGAGAAAAGCCUGAGAUGAAGAAGACGACAUGCGCACUUCCUGCAGGUGGAAGUGGGUCACUUGUUGACGUUUCCUCCGCAGGGGGGCGCUGCUGCACCGAGACCCCAACUAAAAAGUCGUUGCCCUCUUCCUCAUCUCCUUUGCUGCCUUUGCUGAGGCGGUGGAAGCAGUGGACUGUGGAAGCGAGGAAGAAGCUGGCC